UUGCCUACUUCCCACACACGCGUGUCCACCCUUGUAGCAAAGACAAUGUCAAACGGGCAACCAACGCCCUAAAUGGGCUGUGAUUAUUUUGUGCGUCGGAAUUGCUUUUGCGCCCCACACGGGUCCCGGAUUCGAAUCGAGUAGUGUUAUCUAGGUGGUGCCGGCGACGGCCGGGCGGCCCCGGGAUGUUCUCUGGGGCUCGCGAGGGCUCCCACUGCCCGCAUGUGGGGCGACAGGGGCGGGGAAAGAGCAGCUCGGUAAGCGCGUCCCUCCGGCGCGGCGCUUGCUGCGGUCGCCAAAGCCAGCCGUUUUCCCCUGGCUUCUCUCCGCCCGCGUCCUCCCGGCGAGGAGGGUCAAUGUCUCUUUAAGCCGCCGCGGCAGGGACCAGUCGCCUGACAAUGGGCCGGGGCAGCUGAGUUUGAGCAAGUUCCACGGUGCGGCGGCGGCGGCGGUAGCAGCAGCAGCUUCUCCUGGAAGAUCUCGCCAAGGCGAGCUGGCAUCAUCCAGGCGUCCGGCCGCGGCAGAAGCGGCGGCGGCAGCAGUAUCAGCCACGCGCUUGCCCUGGCGGGAGUUGCGCCAGGAGCGCGCUCGGGGGAAAGGGUUGGCGGCACGAUCGCCGGCGCUGAGUUGAUUCCCGAAACUGCUGGAGCCGGCCGGGAUCGCGGUCCUCGCCCUCCUCCAAGGUCCCUCCCCUCGUGAACCUCAGGACCGCCUCCUUUCCCUCUCGCCACGACUGGGGGCAGGUCCCGGGAGCCGACCCGCCCCCCUGCUGUGAAGCCGCGGCGGAAAGGUUCCGGCUUUCCUCUCCUGGAUGCGUCCCUGGAGGAGCUGAGCCAUGCGGCGGCGGCUCCCGCUUUGGCUCCGGAGCUUCCUGUGCUUCUUGCCGGCCUUGAUGGGAGCCAGUUCAGGUUCCCGUCCUCGCCUUGAGGAUUCUUCUCCGCGGAUAGUAGAGCAUCCCUCCGACCUCAUUGUGUCCAAGGGGGAGCCGGCAACGUUGAACUGCAAAGCGGAAGGACGGCCCACCCCCAUCAUAGAGUGGUACAAGGAUGGGGAACGAGUAGAGACGGACAAGGAAGACCCUCGAUCCCAUCGUAUGUUGCUGCCCAGCGGCUCCCUUUUCUUUCUGCGUAUCGUGCACGGACGGAGGAGCAAACCGGACGAGGGAGUGUACGUCUGUGUAGCCAGAAACUACCUGGGCGAGGCAGUCAGCAGGAAUGCAUCUCUGGAGGUAGCCAUUUUGCGAGAUGACUUCCGUCAAGCUCCCAGUGAUGUGGUGGUGGCAGCGGGUGAGCCAGCUGUGAUGGAGUGCAUCCCACCGAGAGGACACCCGGAGCCCACCAUUUCCUGGAAGAAGAACAACGUCCGCAUCAGCGAUAAGGAUGAGCGCAUCACGAUCCGAGGCGGGAAGCUGAUGAUGUCCAACACGAGGAAGAGUGACGCUGGCAUGUACAUCUGCGUGGCCACCAACAUGGUGGGCGAACGGGACAGCGAACCUGCGGAGCUGGUGGUGUUUGAGCGUCCCACUUUCAUCAAGAGGCCCAUAACCCAGGUGGUACUUGCCGAGGACACUGUGAAUUUCCACUGCGAGGUGCAGGGGGACCCUGUGCCGACGUCCCGCUGGCGCAAGGAGGAAGGGGAGCUUCCUCGAGGGAGAUCGGAGGUUCAGAAUGACAACACUCUGCGCAUCAGUCGGGUGAAUGCAGAGGACGAGGGCACUUACACUUGCGUGGCAGAGAAUAGUGUGGGCAAAUCGGAGGCCUCAGGCUCUCUCAGUGUCCAUGUUGGCCCAUUCCUUCCACCGCAAUUAGUGACCCGUCCUCGGGACCAGAUUGUCACCCAAGGCCGUACCGUGACAUUUCAGUGUGAGACCAAAGGAAACCCACCACCAGCUGUCUUUUGGCAGAAGGAAGGUAGCCAGAUCCUGCUUUUUCCCAGCCAGCCCCCUCAGGCAAUGGGCCGCUUUUCUGUAUCUCCAAGCGGCGAGAUGACUAUCACGGACGUGCAGACCUCAGACUCGGGCUACUACAUGUGCCAAGCAAUUAGCGUGGCAGGGAGCAUCCUGGCCAAAGCUCUCCUGGAAGUGGAAGAUGUGACAUCAGAUCGUAUUCCACCGAUUAUUCGCCGAGGGCUGACCAAUCAAACACUUGCUAUAGACUCUACAGCACAGCUGCAAUGCCAUGUGACUGGGAAUCCCCUGCCAAGCAUUCAGUGGCUGAAAGAUGGACAGCGGAUUGUGGGCAGUGACCCAAGAGUCAGUCUGUUAGACAAUGGAACCCUACAGGUUACGAACCUACAGGUUUCAGAUUCUGGGCUGUAUGUUUGCAUUGCUACAAGUUCAACUGGCGAGACACGAUGGAGCGGGUUUCUGGCGGUGCAAGAGAAUGGGGCUGACCUCCAGACACAGCUUCCAGAGCCAAGCCUUCUUCCAGGACCCCCCUCAGCCCCUCUGGUCACCGACGUCACCAAGAACAGCGUUGCUUUGAUCUGGAAGCCAAACCCUGUGAGCGGGACUGCCACCAUCAGUUCAUAUAUAAUCGAAGCAUUCAGUCAGUCUUCAGGUAGCACCUGGCAGACGGUAGCAGAUAAUGUGAAGUUGGAGAAGCACACAGUCAGUGGCUUGAACCCCAACACCAUUUACCUCUUCCUCAUACGGGCGGUCAACACCUACGGGCUAAGUGACCCCAGCCCCGUCUCGGAGCCAGUUCGUACACAAGAUGUAAGUCCUACCAGACAAGGGGUAGAUCACCGGCAGGUCCAAAAGGAACUUGGUGAAGUUGUGGUUCAGCUCCAGGAGCCCGUCGUUCUCACCUCCACCACCAUCCAAGUGACCUGGACUGUGGACCGCCAGGCUCAGUUCAUCCAAGGCUACCGAGUGAUGUACCGGCCCAAGAACAGUGCCUGGCUGGUGCAAGAUGUGAAGUCACCAGCUGAACGGAACACCGUCCUAGUUGAGCUUCACAAAGGCCAGGAGUACGAGGUCAAAAUUCGCCCAUAUUUUGACGAGUUCCAGGGCAUGGACAGUGAAGUGCUGCUGGUGCGCACCCCAGAAGAAGCCCCCAGUGCUCCUCCUCAGGCAGUUACUGUAGUGACGGUGGGGACCAGCAAUAGUACCAGUAUCAGUGUAUCCUGGGAGCCACCUCCACCCGAAGAGCAAAAUGGGAUCAUCCAAGAUUACAGGGUUUGGUGCCUGGGAAACGAGUCUCGCUAUCACAUCAAUAAGACAGUGGAUGGCACUGUACGCUCGACAGUUGUGCUGGGCCUGGUGCCAGGGAUGGUCUACCGCACAGAGGUGGCGGCAGCCACCAGCGUAGGCAUUGGAGUGAGGAGCGCCCCUGUCACUAUUCAGAUCAAGCCCUUGCUGGACCAGGACACUGUGUCUGUGAGUAGCGGGGAUAGCGUGAGCCUUGCUGAGCAGAUCACGGAUGUGGUGAAGCAGCCAGCCUUCAUAGCUGGCAUCGGAGGGGCCUGCUGGGUCAUCCUCAUGUGCUUCAGCGUGUGGAUCUACUGUCGCCGGAAGAAGAGAAAGGAACUGAGCCACUACACAGCCUCCUUUGCAUACACACCAGCAGUCUCUUUCCCCCAUGCGGAUGGGCCAGCGCGUGGCAGCAGCAGCAGGCCUGGCAUGCUGGCCAUGGCUACUAGUGCCUCCAGCUAUCCGUGGCUGGCAGAUUCGUGGCCAGCGCCAAACCUGCUGCGGAACGGGAAGGCAAAGGAGCCCGGAGGGAACUGCUGCGCAGGAAACCACAAUGCCACCGAGAGGUACUAUAAUGAUGCUGGAAUUUCCAAUUACAUUGCCCAGACGGAAAAGUUUGGGACGGGGGUGUCCGACGGGCCCAUCUACAGCACCAUUGAUCCUGCCAGCGAUGACAUGAGGACGUUCAAUGGGGCCUUUUCCCAGCACACCACCCCAUAUGCCACAACGCCCGUGAUACCAUAUGGGGCAACCCAUCUACACUCACCUGAUGAAGAGGAGAGCCAGUGGAACGCCCAGCCUGGCAUCUCCAGCAUCCAAUAUGCCCAGCCCGAGCGGGGCAGAGCUGAGAGUGUUGCUAAACCUGGAAAGCAGAAAUCAAUGGGGAAGCCCGUGAAAACACCGUCGCUCAACUGGACAGAAGUGCUUCCUCCACCUCCCUCUGCCAGUGAACUGAGCCAAUAUGUGGAGGAGGAGGAGGAGGAGGAGGAAGAGGAGGAGCUAGAAGUCAGUUCAGAGGUGGAGGAAUGGUGCCCACCCCUGCCAGAAAGGACCUACCUGAUGGAGAACAUCCAGGAAGAAGAAUGUCCUCCGCCACCACCUCGUGGAGAUGCCUCCUCUCCUGCAAAUUCGUACGGCCAGCAGUCCACGGCCACCUUGACCCCCUCGCCCCGGGAGGAGACGAGAGCUUCUGAAGACAUCCCCAGGCUGCAUCAUUUUGAGAUUCCGCACCUACCCAGGCGGUUACCCAAUGGCUCGGGGCCAUUGCCCAAGGCCUCAAGUCCUCCCUUGACUCAGUCCAACCCAAAUCUCAACGUGCCUGAAGAGGCACCCGAAGGCAUCUCUCCCAGGCAAGGUCAUCGACGUAACCUGAGCCAGACACCGGCGCACAGUGCAGAGAAUGUUGACUCUCCGGGAAUAGGCAAACCUCAUCCCAGCCUAGGGGACAUGCCUCUCCCUCCGGGGCAGAAAGGAAAAAGCAAGAAGAAAUCCAAGUCCAGCCACUACCGUCGAGAGAAAAAGCAGGGAGAUCUCCCGCCACCGCCCUUGCCACCUCCCGCCGAAGACCUCAGCAGCGCAGUUCCAGAUGGUGCCCCACGACUGGACUGUGACCCUUCCUCUCUGGAGAAGAACUUUAACGCUUCCUCGGCCAUGGAGCGGAGUGCUGCCCAUCGCACAGUGGCAGGCCAGCACUACCACCAGCACCGAGACGAGGAGGAAAUCAUCCCCUACAGCAAGCCCAGCUUCCUCUCCAGAAGCCAGGUGUCAAGCAAUUGCUCCACAACAGGAAGUUCUUCUUCCAAAGGCUCAACAGGAUCUAGAGGUCAUGGGUCAGGACGUAGCAGGACAACAGGGGAUCGCAGUGAGAGGUCAUCAUACAGGGCGACCAAGGCUGUUUCUGUACCAAAUCCCGGCCGAAAGCCCGAUUGAAAUGGAUCCAGAUUAGGUUGCCUAAUGUUGUGGACUUCCUGUAGGAAGUGACCAGGAAAAGAGAUGAAACCAAACCGAAGUCAGCGUGAGAAGAGCAAGACCUACAAAGGAAUUGGCAGCCGUAGACUUUGGGCCAGGGAGGGGGGUGUAUCUGUGCUUCUAAUUUAUGACCCUUUGAAAGAAGCUGCAUGGCCUGGCCCCUUGUAAAUAAGUUGUUCCCUGGAGGUUGGCAGUCCCUGGGAGUCAAGGAAGCUGUAUUUAUAAAUGGUGGCAAAAGGGACACUCAAAGUCUUCUGCCUGAACGGGCCUGGGUUUUUUUGGAAAAGUUGGCAUUUCUGCAGCUGGAGGGUUUGUGUGCAGUGGGAGAUGGGUACGGAAGAAGGCAGUAGGGAAGAGCGUUUGCCUUCUAUCAUCCAGCUCAGGAUGGGCAUUGAAAGCAGCCCACCUCACCAAGCACAUGCUCGGAUAGGCCCAGGUGCUCAGUCCUGCUUGCCAUAAGGCAGGGGUCAGCAGGGGUUUCUUUGGUAGCUAAUGAAUCCUUUUGUAAAAUGACCAAUAAAGCUGUUUGUUAACCUGGA